CCACCGCUGCUCCCCAUCUUCUUCUCCAUCCUCCAUCCCCCAAUUCAAUCCUAUCCAUCUCCCUCCCCCUCGUCCGCCGCCACCACCGGCAACCUCGGUGCCCCUCUCCCUAACCACCACCGCCCCCACCCUCUCCCCCAUCCCCCGCUCUUACCUUCUCUCCUUAAACUAGGCGGCCUCAAGAACGAGCAGGCCGAGGCGCUUCCCGAUUUGCGGCGCUGCUUCUGGAUCUACCGAGCAGCGCCAGAGGUCGGCUCCCUCUCCGCUGUUCUGCGCCAAGGUUGGCCUCCCCUUCCUUUUCCGCGUGGUCCAUGGCGCUAACCCAGACGGUGAGGCACUCAAUACCAUGGCUGGAUGGAGGUUGGGUGAUUUCAUUCCCUGACCUCGCCGCCUAGCCACUCCACCACGAGCUUCUCGCCCCCAGCGGCGUACAAGACGUCCUCCUCCUCGAUGCAGCCGUUCCCAACGAGCUCUCUUUGCCGAAAGAGGUGCAGAAGCAAGUACAGCACCCCCUUGGCCCCUACAUCCUGUCCUACAUCGCCUGCACGAGCUCACUGAUGGCUGCCUCCUCCUUACCUCCUAGCGUGGCGAGCCUCUCCCCACUUUACCCCAAAUAUAGAUGAUACUUGCAAUCUGAAUACAUAUCAUAUUUUGGAUCAGUUUAGAGGCGGAUUCAGUUGCUGAGAUGAAUAUGUGAGCUUGAUUAGUUGCUGACGGUUUUGUGGAUCUGAUUCUCUUGCACUAUUACACAUAAUUUAAUUAGGGCAAGCUAAUGCUGAUCCACACGAUAUGAUAUAGCUAUUUUUUUCUAACAUGCACCGUUCUUCAUGUUGAUUGAUAUUUUGGGAGUUAAUUUGGAAGUUCCAGCUUGUUAGAUAUAAAUUAAGCUGCGACUGUGUAUCUUGCUAGAAUGGACUUGUUUUAUAGAUGCGUGUAUGUAGUAGUACUUGAGAGAAAACCUAAAAACUGUACUUUUAUCAUAAGCAUCUUAGAACUGUAAGUGUUUUUUCUUGUUUAUAUUGCUAUAUGCUUUUAUUGUUACUUGGAUUUUUAUUUCCUGUCAAGUAACUAUAUUUUUGCUUGAACAGAUGUGGCCUUUAAUUAUGCUCCUGUUGUUUUCUUGUUAAUACAAAAGCAACAAGUUCCCUAUUCUAAAAUAGUGUUUAGGAUUCAGAUUGUGUUGGACAUCAAUAAUUCUGUACAUGGUAGCUGAACUCCCUUCUGUUCAAUAUCCUAUCCCACACUACAUAUAUGAUACAUCAAUUAUCACUUAUUUUCAUACCAAUGGUAACCCCUUUUCAUGGUUGAAAUGGACAUUUUCACCAUGGCAGUCUGCUUUCUCUAUCAUAGAUUGGAACUGUGGAUGCAUUACGGUAUGAUUGAUUGUUGUACGAGAAGCUAUUAUCCUUUUUGUUGUUGUUGGAAGGUAGGACUACCUGUGAUAUUAUUAUUCUCCUAUAGCAUAAUAAUCUUAUUAAGAUGAAAAAAGUUUUGUUCCCUUUUCGUUUUGAUGUUUGCCUUGGUUACUAGAAUAAAAGUAUUGCUUAUGUUAUUUAUUUUCAGCAAUGGGUACGGAAGUGCCUCCCCUUGACUUACUUUUCUUAGUUUCACAUACUUCAUAUUUCACGGCACAUGAGAGACUGCAUCGUAGGAAAUUCAGAAGGUUUUCAUAGCAUGAUUCGAGUUUAGUGUAUUGAUAGCUUAGGACUUGCAGUCAAAUAAGCACAGUGUUGUUUACUACCAACUAUUGAUCUAUGUAUGCUCAUAAUGCCUUUUUGUUGCCAUCAGUUGUUUCUUUUCACACGAAUGAUUUUGUUUCACUACUUUGCAUCAUGGCAGAGAAAAAAUAUAGAACUUAAUAACGUGUAGUAAGCUACUUCCAGUUUCUACUUCUAUUUUAACCUACUGACUAUAAUAUUUUAUAAUGUGACAUAUUUUUCAUCAUGUGGCAGAUAUUGGUUUAUGGGAGCAUUUCAACAACAAAGACAUGAUGAGCGAAUCCACGGCCAGGAAUGCGGGGUCCCUUGGUUGUCCAAUGAUCAUUGUCCUUUGCUUGAUGGGUGUGGUGCUGGCUGUAGAGUAGCACAGUUUUCUCCGAGACAUGCUUGUAGAAUUAAAAUCUUUUUUGGGUUCAUUUUUUGCUCCCGUACAGGUGUAUUUUUGGGUGUGUGUAUGUAAUUUUUUGUUUUUAAGGACCUGAACAUAUAUUUUCUGUUAAAUUAUUAUUGGCUUCAAAUUUCCA